rnacentral:lncRNA from 1 species
GGGGGGGACUUCUGUCCUUCACGAGAAGCAAGCGAGAAGCAAGCGGGGGGGACGUGCUGACCCCCACCCCAGCCUCACGCCAGGGCAAACUUAUUUUGUUAAGGACAAACCCGCGCUGCACACGCGUACCCCGACUCCCUCCUGACCACAGUCGUCAUCUCCAUCGGGCGAGGCGUCGGCCUGGCUCUGGGUGCAAUCCCUGCAAGCUCUUGCCCCGCUCCCAGCCCCUCGCAGUGCCCUGACUUCCUGUCUGGGGUUGGUAAUCCUUCCCAGGAGAGGGCGAGAAACAGCAGGCAAGCUUAUGGGGGUGGGAGGGAAUGCCUGGCUCAUCUUCAGCCCCUCACAGCCCCAGUCGGAUGUGUAUUGGGAAUCCUGGUGUUCCAGGUCCCUCCCUGAUGGGCUCCAGAUGUGCUUGCAUCUGGGAAGGCCAUCCCAGGAAACCGAUGCUCCCGCCCACAGCUCCCACCCCGGAUGGAUCUCUCCUCCAGCCCCCAGGUUUUUCCCCCCAGCACAGAAGCUUCAGACACUCCUUUCCUCUCCAGAGGGAUUCCCUCUGCCGCUCCAGAAGCUUCCUACGCAUCCCUCCUUCUGUCCCUCUCCGAGAACGGCUCCCACUCAUCACCCCACCACGGGGCAGAGGGACCGGGACCCCCAGGCCGAAGCCAGGAGCCACAGGCCACUGAACUCCCCUGGUCCUUGGUGCAGCAAACUCUUCCCAGUCUUGAUUCCGGUGACCCUGAGAACGUGAUGUUGGCACAGUUGCCCGGAGUAAGCGAGAGGCCCCAGCCCGGGGUCGGGGCAGCCCCAGCUCCCUCCAGGCUACGAGGCCGAGGCCGGAGGGGAUUGGCGUCUGUCUGGGCACAGCUGCAGCCCACUAGUGUGUGCAGCCACAGGCCAGCGAGGAGACCUCACUCAGCCCAGACCACCCGACCAGGCUUCUUACAGACCCAGCAAGGCUGGGCUCUAUUCACUGGAACCAGGACAUCGGCCUCAGUGUUCUUAGAAUUUCCAGGCAUUUGAGAAUCCAGAAACACCUGAGUCUGGCCCCAGAGAAAUCACAUGCAUGUGGGCAAAACCCCCAGGGACCUUCAGAGGGCUGAUGGAUUGUGCCCGUGUCUUCCGCCCCCCACCCCCCCACCCCCGGGCCAGUGGACCUAGGCUAAGGAUCCCUGCCCCAGAAUCUUCCCUCCGUAGAAACCCGGCCCCACUUAGAAGGCUAAACUGGCAGAAAAGCCACAAUUUUGGAAUCCGUUGGAAUUGAAUUUGGAUUUACCUCUGCCCCUUUCUUUCUAUAAGUCAUAGUCACUUCACUCCUUUGGGCCUCAGUUUCUCUGUUUUUGUUUUUGUUUUGUUUUGUUUUUUCUUUGAAGAUUUUUUUAUUAGGGCAGCCCGGGUGGCCCAGCGGUUUAGCGCCGCCUUCAGCCCAGGGCGUGAUCCUGGAGACCCCGGAUCGAGUCCUGCGUCGGGCUCCCCGCAUGGAGCCUGCUUCUCCCUCUGCCUGUGUCUCUGCCUCUCUGUGUGUGUGUGUGUGUGUNNNNNNNNNNNNNNNNNNNNNNNNNNNNNNNNNNNNNNNNNNNNNNNNNNNNNNNNNNNNNNNNNNNNNNNNNNNNNNNNNNNNNNNNNNNNNCCCCCCCCCCCCCGGGCCUCAACUUCUUGAUAGUAAAAUGAAGAUCGUGAUACCUGCAAUGCUGGACAGUUGGGAAGGUUAAGUGGGAUAAAGGCGGGUUCAAGGUCAAGCACGGGGCCAGACACGUGAGAGACCAUUAAUACCACGUCCCUGUCCCUAUGUAGACCACGCAUGGCUCCUGGCUUCAGAACCGGCGCCUCUGCCCGUGGACUCGUCCUGCUCUGAGGCUGCAGGCGGGCGGGUGACAGCAGGGGCCUGGUGAGCGGCCUGCCCUUGCCCGUCACUCCUCGGCCCCUCCGUCAAGCAGGCUGUGAUUGCUAAUAGUCCAUCGUCACAGCAAAUCAUCCCUGCUGAGCCAUGAAGGGACACAGAGGUCGGAUCUGAGAGACAAAA